rnacentral:rRNA from 1 species
UACGUAGGGGGCAAGCGUUGUCCGGAUUUAUUGGGCGUAAAGAGCGUGUAGGCGGCCAUGUAGGUCCGUUGUGAAAACUCGAGGCUCAACCUCGAGACGCCGAUGGAAACCAUGUGGCUAGAGUCCGGAAGAGGAGAGUGGAAUUCCAGGUGUAGCGGUGAAAUGCGUAGAUAUCUGGAGGAACACCGGUGGCGAAGGCGGCAUCCUGGACCAACACUGACGCUGAUGAGCGAAAGCCAGGGGAGCAAACGGG